AACCAGCAGAUUCUGUAUAUGAUCAGUUUUCCGAGUUGGCGUUGACCAAAUGAUGUCGCUAACCUUAUUUCUGAUUAUCUUUAACUGUUAUGUAAUAGAUGGAAGUCAGUCCAUUCGAGAAGAAGCGGUAGGCUAUGCAUAUAAAAGAAAACCUGUAAACGGUAUUCUUUACAUAGAUGAAAGUUCUCAUCCUGGAUUUUACAACUUUAUUGACCCGUUUUACCGUUCAAAAAGUUCCAAAAAUAUUUCCGAUUUCAAUAGCCACACACCUGAAAAGCCGUCUAAACCUGCAUUUGUAGGAGGACUAGAAUCUUUCGGGAAAAAUUUUUGUAGGAAAGGAAGGUGUGCUGGACAUUCAUUUGGCGACUUUCAAAAACUGUUUGUCAAUUUAUUUUUUACACGAGAUGAAAUUAACAAAUUGGAUAAUCUUAAUAGACUUAUACAUCUACGGCAAACUAUACCGGGAAAACCAGGGGAACCCGACAAACCAGCCAUACCAGGUAGACCGGGCUUUACAUCAGAUGACGAUGGUGACCAAUGUUGCCCAACAAGCCUCGGCCACAUAAGUGAUACACAUCUGAUAAAUACAGACGGUAUACAAAGAGAGAUUGUUCAUUUUAUUGGUGGAAUCCCACCAUAUAAACAGUUUAUACCUAUAGGAGAGUGUGUGUCAUCUGGUAUUUGUAAUGACUGCAAGAUUCAACAGCGUCUUCACUUCCUGUUGAUAGUUGAUCCAGAUGCGGUGCAGUUUCCACCUGUAAAAUUUGACAAGUUUUAUAUUAACAGCUAUUGCUCUUGUAAAAAUAGAUAAAUAAACAACCGAUAGAUGUUGAGAAUAGUAAGAAACAUACGUGUAAUUAUUAUUGUUUUUUUCGUACUUAUCUUUUUGUUAUCUAUUUCAUCGUUAUUUUACAAAUUUACAGGUAAGUGA